ACAGUGGGACUGCAAGUAGAGCAGCG
rnacentral:piRNA from 1 species